CUGUUACAGAUGAAGUUCAUGUUAAUAAAUGGUGUGAAGCUGAGAAGAGUUCCUGGGUGAGUGAUCCAUCAGUUCGCUGGUAUCAAACCAAACGUCAGGGUUACAUAGUGGUUCCUGCUUCUGUUUAGAGCUGAUUAAAAGAAGAAGCUCCUCAAGACUGAAGGCCUGAUGUGGACCAGCAGGACCCAGAGCCUCUUAUCAUAGAGUGGAAGAAAAGACCCUUAGACCAGUCUGGUGGGAGACCAACUCAAUAUGGAGGAGACCAAUAUCAGGUUUUUGGUCACUACAGUUUCUUUAAAGAGUGAGGAGGAUAAAA